rnacentral:rRNA from 1 species
AUAGAGACUCAGAGCUGCAUAUCAAUAAGCGGAGGAAAAGAAACUAACAAGGAUUCCCUUAGUAACGGCGAGUGAAGCGGGAAGAGCUCAAAUUUGAAAUCUUCAAGGUUUUACCUUGACGAAUUGUAGUUUAAAGAAGUGUUUUCUGUUGGAGUUUUGGUAAAAGUUCUUUGGAAUAGGACAUCAUAGAGGGUGAGAAUCCCGUAUUUGACCGUUACUUUCCAGCUGUGUGAUACACUUUCAAAGAGUCGGAUUGUUUGGGAAUGCAGUCCAAAAUGGGUGGUAAAUUUCAUCUAAAGCUAAAUAUUGGCGAGAGACCGAUAGCGAACAAGUACCGUGAGGGAAAGAUGAAAAGAACUUUGAAAAGAGAGUUAAACAGUACGUGAAAUUGUCAAAAGGGAAGCGUUUGACACCAGUGUUGUUUUUCCGAAAAUCAAUUACGAAUGGGUUAUUUUGAGAGUUAUGACCUUCAAUCGCUUGCUUCUCUCUUUAUGAUCUUUCUUAAUGCACUUUUCGGUUAACAAGUCAACAUCAAUUUCUUUUGUUGUAAAAGAGUAUGAGGAAGGUGGCUUUCUUUUCGGAGAAAGUGUUUAUAGCCUUUUACCUCUGCAAUCGGAGAGAUUGAGGUACAUGCAGCGUAGACUCCUUCUGGGGUUAGAUACAUUUGUGCUAAGUUAUAGCCUUUCAUAGACAACUUGUUGACUAUGAUCAGUCAUGUAGCUUACUCGCUUAUGUCAUUUUACCUACGCUUAGGAUGUUGAUAGUCACAGCGUGUAC